GCUCCUGUAGCUUAGUGGUUAAGCUCCAUGUAUGCGCGCGGGUUCGAGUCCCACCAGGAGCA
rnacentral:tRNA from 1 species